UGGAGACUCCGCCUCCAGCCGCCCUCGGGUCCCCAGAGGCCGGUCCUCGCCCUCGGUGCUCCCCGCUGGGAGGUGGGGUGGGCCUGAGGACCGCCCGGCUCUGCCUUCACGCGGAGGGUCGCUGCGCAAGACCCUAGCGCAAAUUCGAUUCCCGUCUCUUGCGUCGCAGGACGCCGCCAUUGCCUCCAGAAGCCGGGAUCCUCCAGGCCCAGGUCCAGGAGCCCGUGCCGACCAAAGCCUAGUGUCACUUUAAGCACGCCCCCCGCCCCCGGCCUGCCCGCUGUCGGGGUGUGUUCUGCUCCGAGGCCUUCUUCGCGGAAAGCAGAGAGCACUCUGGGUAGCGUGCUUGCUCCACGUCCCCAGAGAGAAACCCGGGAGUGCCCGGCCGCCCUGGACUGGGCCUUGCCAGGGUGCUUGGGAUGCUGGAAGGUCUCCAGCUACAGGGCCCCUGGCAGGGGGAGCAGAGCUUGUGGAUUGGGGAUGCCAGGGCCAAGCUCUGCAUGGGGUGGUGAGAGCCUGUGCAGAGGAGGGACCCACGCGGGGGAAGCACAGAGGUCCUUCAGGCAGCGGCGUUCAACCACUGACCCAGGAGCAGGAGUGGCAGCAACGUGCCGCCCUGUGCCACCCGUUCAAGGCUCAGGGCCGCCCCAGGAGCCAGGAGCGUGUGUCCUGCCCGAGUCAUAGCCUUUGCUGCACCCUGGCCUCCGAGCUCUCGCCUUAGCUGCACCCCGGCUGCGGGCUGAGGCGUGAGGCCGGUGCACUGAUGCACGCUCACGCUGGGGUGAAGGGGAUCCACCUCCCAGGAUCCAUGGAGGACCCACGUUGGGGAGAGGGGCGAGGCCAGGCGCUGCGGAAGGGUUCCCCCGAAACCCUAGCCUCUUGGGGGCCCCGGGGAGUGGGCAUCGAGUGGAGAAACUGGUCCGGCUCCAUCUUGCUCCGCCUGCGCCCGCCCGCGAGUCUGCACGCAGCGGCACCCCGCUUGCGGCCCUCGCCACGCGCCCCAAGCACCGAGCUUCCGCUCUAGGCCGCCCCUGAGGUCUGGCAGGAUCACCUGGGACCGAGGUCGCCCGAGCACUUUCCAACCAAGUAAAAUAGAACUUGAAUGUA